rnacentral:rRNA from 1 species
CUACGGGUGGCAGCAGUGGGGAAUCUUGGACAAUGGGCGCAAGCCUGAUCCAGCCAUGCCGCGUGAGUGAAGAAGGCCUUAGGGCCGUAAAGCUCUUUCGCCAGAGAUGAUAAUGACAGUAUCUGGUAAAGAAACCCGGGCUAACUCCGUGCCAGCAGCCGCGGUAAUACGGAGGGGGUUAGCGUUGUUCGGAAUUACUGGGCGUAAAGCGCGCGUAGGCGGAUUAGUCAGUCAGAGGUGAAAUCCCAGGGCUCAACCCUGGAACUGCCUUUGAUACUGCUAGUCUUGAGUUCGAGAGAGGUGAGUGGAAUUCCGAGUGUAGAGGUGAAAUUCGUAGAUAUUCGGAGGAACACCAGUGGCGAAGGCGGCUCACUGGCUCGAUACUGACGCUGAGGUGCGAAAGUGUGGGGAGCAAACAGGAUUAGAUACCCCGGUAGUC